GGCGGAGCCUUGGGGGCCGAGCCCACUGGGGGCGGGGCGUCUCGGGCCACGUGACAUCGCUUGACUGUUUACACGAGGCGCGGGCAGAGCCUCGGCCUCAGUCAGGCGCUAGGCAGCGUUUCGGUU
rnacentral:lncRNA from 1 species